UACGUAGGUGCAAGCGUUAAUCGGAAUUACUGGGCGUAAAGUGUGCGCAGGCGGUUAUGUAAGACAGGUGUGAAAUCCCCGGGCUUAACCUGGGAACUGCAUUUGUGACUGCAUAGCUAGAGUACGGUAGAGGGGGAUGGAAUUCCGCGUGUAGCAGUGAAAUGCGUAGAUAUGCGGAGGAACACCGAUGGCGAAGGCAAUCCCCUGGACCUGUACUGACGCUCAUGCACGAAAGGCGUGGGGAGCAAACAGG
rnacentral:rRNA from 1 species